UACGUAGGGGGCAAGCGUUUUUCGGAUUUACUGGGCGUAAAGGGCGAGUAGGCGGCGCGUAAAGUCGGACGUGAAAUCAUUGGGCUUAACCCGAUGGCUGUGCCCGAUACUUGCGUGCUUAGAGUGCGGGAGAGGCAAUCGGAAUUCUCGGUGUAGCGGUGAAAUGCGUAGAUAUCGAGAGGAACUCCGGUGACGAAGGUGGGUUGCUGGACCGACACUGACGCUGAGGCGCGAAAGCUAGGGGAGCAAACGGG
rnacentral:rRNA from 1 species